CCUACGGGAGGCAGCAGUAGGGAAUAUUGCUCAAUGGGGGAAACCCUGAAGCAGCAACGCCGCGUGGAGGAUGAAGGUUCUCGGAUUGUAAACCCCUUUUGUUAGAGAAGAUAAUGACGGUAUCUAACGAAUAAGCACCGGCUAACUCCGUGCCAGCAGCCGCGGUAAUACGGAGGGGGCAAGCGUUACUCGGAAUCACUGGGCGUAAAGAGGGCGUAGGCGGGAUAGCAAGUCAGAUGUGAAAUCCUAUGGCUUAACCAUAGAACUGCAUUUGAAACUGUUGUUCUAGAGUAUGGGAGGGGUAGGUGGAAUUCUUGGUGUAGGGGUAAAAUCCGUAGAGAUCAAGAGGAAUACUCAUUGCGAAGGCGACCUGCUAGAACAUAACUGACGCUGAGGCGCGAAAGCGUGGGGAGCAAACAGGAUUAGAUACCCGGGUAGUC
rnacentral:rRNA from 1 species